UAUGCUUCUUGGUCUUUCUGUUAAGAUCAAGCUUAGUAUAUGUUUUUAUCAGUUUAAUUUUUAAAAUGUCCCAUCACUGAGGACCAUAUACUAAAUGGAUUUUUGAGAGCAGGGGCUGAUUUUGAAGCCUGCAGGGGCUGAUUUCGAAGCUUGCUUCCUUUAUGCAUUUACCUGAUAUAGUAGUAUCUUCA